rnacentral:rRNA from 1 species
UCCGGUGGCAAUGGCGGAGGGGAAACACCCGUUCCCAUUCCGAACACGGAAGUUAAGCCCUCCAGUGCCGAUGGUACUUGGCCCGCGUGGCCCGGGAGAGUAGGUCGCCGCCGGGA